rnacentral:rRNA from 1 species
UGGGGAAUAUUGGACAAUGGGGGCAACCCUGAUCCAGCGAUGCCGCGUGGGUGAAGAAGGCCUUCGGGUUGUAAAGCCCUUUAGGUUGGGAAGAAGGGUAUGUGGUGAAUAGCCAUGUACUUUGACGGUACCGACAGAAUAAGCACCGGCAAACUCUGUGCCAGCAGCCGCGGUAAUACAGAGGGUGCGAGCGUUAAUCGGAAUUACUGGGCGUAAAGGGCGCGUAGGCGGUGAAGUGAGUGUGAUGUGAAAGCCCUGGGCUUAACCUAGGAAGUGCAUCGCAAACGACUUUGCUGGAGUAUAAGAGAGGGUGGCGGAAUUUCCGGUGUAGCGGUGAAAUGCGUAGAGAUCGGAAGGAACGUCAAUGGCGAAGGCAGCCACCUGGCUUAAUACUGACGCUGAGGCGCGAAAGCGUGGGGAUCGAACA